rnacentral:rRNA from 1 species
AGUGAACGCUGGCGGUAGGCCUAACACAUGCAAGUCGAACGGCAGCACAGUAAGAGCUUGCUCUUACGGGUGGCGAGUGGCGGACGGGUGAGGAAUACAUCGGAAUCUACUUUUUCGUGGGGGAUAACGUAGGGAAACUUACGCUAAUACCGCAUACGACCUACGGGUGAAAGCAGGGGAUCUUCGGACCUUGCGCGAUUGAAUGAGCCGAUGUCGGAUUAGCUAGUUGGCGGGGUAAAGGCCCACCAAGGCGACGAUCCGUAGCUGGUCGGAGAGGAUGAUCAGCCACACUGGAACUGAGACGCGGUCCAGACUCCUACGGGAGGCAGCAGUGGGGAAUAUUGGACAAUGGGCGCAAGCCUGAUCCAGCCAUACCGCGUGGGUGAAGAAGGCCUUCGGGUUGUAAAGCCCUUUUGUUGGGAAAGAAAAGCAGCAGGUUAAUACCCCGCUGUUCUGACGGUACCCAAAGAAUAAGCACCGGCUAACUUCGUG